AGCGUAGACGGAAUGGCAAGUCUGAUGUGAAAGGCCGGGGCUCAACCCCGGGACUGCAUUGGAAACUGUCAAUCUAGAGUACCGGAGGGGUAAGUGGAAUUCCUAGUGUAGCGGUGAAAUGCGUAGAUAUUAGGAGGAACACCAGUGGCGAAGGCGGCUUACUGGACGGUAACUGACGUUGAGGCCCGAAAGCGUGGGGAGCAAACA
rnacentral:rRNA from 1 species